rnacentral:rRNA from 1 species
AUGAACGCUGGCGGCGUGCUUAACACAUGCAAGUCGAACGGAAAGGCUCCUGCUUGCAGGGGUACUCGAGUGGCGAACGGGUGAGUAACACGUGGGUGAUCUGCCCUGCACUUCGGGAUAAGCCUGGGAAACUGGGUCUAAUACCGGAUAGGACGAUGGUUUGGAUGCCAUUGUGGAAAGUUUUUCGGUGUGGGAUGAGCUCGCGGCCUAUCAGCUUGUUGGUGGGGUAAUGGCCUACCAAGGCGUCGACGGGUAGCCGGCCUGAGAGGGUGUACGGCCACAUUGGUACUGAGAUACGGCCCAGACUCCUACGGGAGGCAGCAGUGGGGAAUAUUGCACAAUGGGCGCAAGCCUGAUGCAGCGACGCCGCGUGGGGGAUGACGGCCUUCGGGUUGUAAACUCCUUUCGCUAGGGACGAAGCGCAAGUGACGGUACCUGGAGAAGAAGCACCGGCUAACUACGUG